GAGUUUGAUCUUGGCUCAGGAUGAACGCUAGCGGCAGGCUUAACACAUGCAAGUCGAGGGGUAGAGUUAGCUUGCUAACUUGAGACCGGCGCACGGGUGCGUAACGCGUAUGCAAUCUACCUUGUACAGGGGGAUAGCCCAGAGAAAUUUGGAUUAAUACCCCAUAGUGUUAUGAUGUGGCAUCACAUUAUAACUAAAGUUCCAACGGUACAAGAUGAGCAUGCGUCCCAUUAGCUAGUUGGUGUGGUAACGGCAUACCAAGGCAACGAUGGGUAGGGGUCCUGAGAGGGAGAUCCCCCACACUGGUACUGAGACACGGACCAGACUCCUACGGGAGGCAGCAGUGAGGAAUAUUGGUCAAUGGGCGCAAGCCUGAACCAGCCAUGCCGCGUGCAGGAUGACGGUCCUAUGGAUUGUAAACUGCUUUUGUACAGGAAGAACACUCCCUCGUGGAGGGAGCUUGACGGUACUGUAAGAAUAAGGAUCGGCUAACUCCGUGCCAGCC
rnacentral:rRNA from 1 species